rnacentral:rRNA from 1 species
GACCAACGCUGGCGGCGUGCUUAACACAUGCAAGUCGAGCGGUAAGGCCCUUUCGGGGGUACACGAGCGGCGAACGGGUGAGUAACACGUGGGUGACCUGCCCUCAGCUCUGGGAUAAGCCUGGGAAACCGGGUCUAAUACUGGAUAUGACUCCAUGACGCAUGUUGUGGGGUGGAAAGCCUUGUGCGGCUGAGGAUGGGCCCGCGGCCUAUCAGCUUGUUGGUGGGGUGANGGCCUACCAAGGCGACGACGGGUAGCCGGCCUGAGAGGGCGACCGGCCACACUGGGACUGAGACACGGCCCAGACUCCUACGGGAGGCAGCAGUGGGGAAUCUUGCGCAAUGGGCGAAAGCCUGACGCAGCGACGCCGCGUGAGGGA